rnacentral:rRNA from 1 species
GGGUUGUGAGGUUAAGCGACUAAGCGUACACGGUGGAUGCCUAGGCAGUCAGAGGCGAUGAAGGGCGUGCUAAUCUGCGAAAAGCGUCGGUAAGCUGAUAUGAAGCGUUAUAACCGACGAUACCCGAAUGGGGAAACCCAGUGCAAUACGUUGCACUAUCGUUAGAUGAAUACAUAGUCUAACGAGGCGAACCGGGGGAACUGAAACAUCUAAGUACCCCGAGGAAAAGAAAUCAACCGAGAUUCCCCCAGUAGCGGCGAGCGAACGGGGAGGAGCCCAGAGUCUGAAUCAGUUUGUGUGUUAGUGGAAGCGUCUGGAAAGUCGCACGGUACAGGGUGAUAGUCCCGUACACCAAAAUGCACAGGCUGUGAACUCGAUGAGUAGGGCGGGACACGUGACAUCCUGUCUGAAUAUGGGGGGACCAUCCUCCAAGGCUAAAUACUCCUGACUGACCGAUAGUGAACCAGUACCGUGAGGGAAAGGCGAAAAGAACCCCGGCGAGGGGAGUGAAAUAGAACCUGAAACCGUGUACGUACAAGCAGUGGGAGCACCUUCGUGGUGUGACUGCGUACCUUUUGUAUAAUGGGUCAGCGACUUAUAUUUUGUAGCAAGGUUAACCGAAUAGGGGAGCCGUAGGGAAACCGAGUCUUAACUGGGCGUCUAGUUGCAAGGUAUAGACCCGAAACCCGGUGAUCUAGCCAUGGGCAGGUUGAAGGUUGGGUAACACUAACUGGAGGACCGAACCGACUAAUGUUGAAAAAUUAGCGGAUGACUUGUGGCUGGGGGUGAAAGGCCAAUCAAACCGGGAGAUAGCUGGUUCUCCCCGAAAGCUAUUUAGGUAGCGCCUCGUGAACUCAUCUUCGGGGGUAGAGCACUGUUUCGGCUAGGGGGCCAUCCCGGCUUACCAAACCGAUGCAAACUCCGAAUACCGAAGAAUGUUAUCACGGGAGACACACGGCGGGUGCUAACGUCCGUCGUGAAGAGGGAAACAACCCAGACCGCCAGCUAAGGUCCCAAAGUCAUGGUUAAGUGGGAAACGAUGUGGGAAGGCACAGACAGCCAGGAUGUUGGCUUAGAAGCAGCCAUCAUUUAAAGAAAGCGUAAUAGCUCACUGGUCGAGUCGGCCUGCGCGGAAGAUGUAACGGGGCUAAACCAUGCACCGAAGCUGCGGCAGCGACGUUUAGGCGUUGUUGGGUAGGGGAGCGUUCUGUAAGCCGUUGAAGGUGACCUGUGAGGGUUGCUGGAGGUAUCAGAAGUGCGAAUGCUGACAUAAGUAACGAUAAUGCGGGUGAAAAACCCGCACGCCGGAAGACCAAGGGUUCCUGUCCAACGUUAAUCGGGGCAGGGUGAGUCGACCCCUAAGGCGAGGCUGAAAAGCGUAGUCGAUGGGAAACAGGUUAAUAUUCCUGUACUUGGUGUUACUGCGAAGGGGGGACGGAGAAGGCUAGGCUGGCCGGGCGACGGUUGUCCCGGUUUAAGCGUGUAGGGGGAGUGACCAGGUAAAUCCGGUUGCUUAUCAACCCUGAGGCGUGAUGACGAUGCACCACGGUGCAGAAGCAGUUGAUGCCAUGCUUCCAGGAAAAGCCUCUAAGCAUCAGGUAACAUUAAAUCGUACCCCAAACCGACACAGGUGGUCAGGUAGAGAAUACUCAGGCGCUUGAGAGAACUCGGGUGAAGGAACUAGGCAAAAUGGUGCCGUAACUUCGGGAGAAGGCACGCUGGCGUUAGGUGAAAGGACUAGCUCCUGGAGCUGAAGCCAGUCGCAGAUACCAGCUGGCUGCAACUGUUUAAUAAAAACACAGCACUGUGCAAACACGAAAGUGGACGUAUACGGUGUGACGCCUGCCCGGUGCUGGAAGGUUAAUUGAUGGGGUCAGCCGCAAGGCGAAGCUCUUGAUCGAAGCCCCAGUAAACGGCGGCCGUAACUAUAACGGUCCUAAGGUAGCGAAAUUCCUUGUCGGGUAAGUUCCGACCUGCACGAAUGGCGUAAUGAUGGCCAGGCUGUCUCCACCCGAGACUCAGUGAAAUUGAACUCGCUGUGAAGAUGCAGUGUACCCGCGGCAAGACGGAAAGACCCCGUGAACCUUUACUAUAGCUUGACACUGAACAUUGAGCCUUGAUGUGUARGAUAGGUGGGAGGCCUUGAAGUGUGGACGCCAGUCUGCAUGGAGCCAACCUUGAAAUACCACCCUUUAAUGUUUGAUGUUCUAACUCGGCCCCAUGAUCUGGGGUGAGGACAGUGUCUGGUGGGUAGUUUGACUGGGGCGGUCUCCUCCCAAAGAGUAACGGAGGAGCACGAAGGUUAGCUAAUCACGGUCGGACAUCGUGAGGUUAGUGCAAAGGCAUAAGCUAGCUUGACUGCGAGAGUGACGGCUCGAGCAGGUACGAAAGUAGGUCUUAGUGAUCCGGUGGUUCUGAAUGGAAGGGCCAUCGCUCAACGGAUAAAAGGUACUCCGGGGAUAACAGGCUGAUACCGCCCAAGAGUUCAUAUCGACGGCGGUGUUUGGCACCUCGAUGUCGGCUCAUCACAUCCUGGGGCUGAAGUAGGUCCCAAGGGUAUGGCUGUUCGCCAUUUAAAGUGGUACGCGAGCUGGGUUUAGAACGUCGUGAGACAGUUCGGUCCCUAUCUGCCGUGGGCGUUGGAAGAUUGAGAGGGGCUGCUCCUAGUACGAGAGGACCGGAGUGGACGAAUCACUGGUGUUCGGGUUGUCAUGCCAAUGGCAUUGCCCGGUAGCUAAAUUCGGAAGAGAUAACCGCUGAAAGCAUCUAAGCGGGAAACUUGCCUCGAGAUGAGUCUUCCCUGGGGCUUAAAGCCCCCUGAAGGAACGUUAAAGACUAUGACGUUGAUAGGCUGGGUGUGUAAGUGCAGCGAUGUAUUGAGCUAACCAGUACUAAUGAUCCGUGAGGCUUAACCUUACAACACCGAAGGUGUUU